rnacentral:lncRNA from 1 species
UAGAUACCUCACUUUCAUCAGGGCCAGGGGUACAAUUUCUGUUCUCUUCCUAUAUGUUGUUUAUAUAUGAUAUUCUGAUGCAAUAGAUUCUGGUAAUUUUUUCUAUCAUGCUUAAACUGGUUUUUCUUCUACUCUAAUCGCCUCUUUUGCUUAACAUGGUUUGGGAUGAAAACUCAUGUUUUGACCACGUCUCAUUCUUAUGGUUGUGAAAAUAUUUCUCCUCGCAUCAAAGCCUGCACCUCCUCAACUUCUUUCUCAUUAGAGUGGUUCUUCUUGUUAGCUAUAUGCACGUUUGUUUGCCCAGAUUUUUUUGUGAAAAAGCUGCCACGGAUAAAAUAUGAAGGCGUUGAAUGUUGAUGUAUGUGUGAAAUAUGUUUGUAGUUUGUUUAACUUUUAUUUGAAGCUUUUUGUUGAUUUGUAAUAUUUGUGUGUACAAGGUGAAGCCAUAAGAUUCUAUUGUUGUUUUCACGUUUCCCAGGUUUUGUCUGCAGCCAUUGGCGCUUGGUCAUUUAUUCUGACCACCACAAAAAACCUUUAUCAAUAUCGCUGGAUAGAGCUCAUGAACUUGUUAUCACUUAUCAAUAUUCGAAAACAACGCAUACCAAUUUUUAAUUUUUUGUCCUUCAACAGCCACAUGUAUGGCCUUGAGAACUUGGUGAUAUCUUUGUCCGUGUAACAGCCGAAGAUGCUCUUGCUUUGUCCGUCGUAACAAAUUCAGUCCCCCCUAAUGAUAAAUCCUGGAUCCGCCCCUGUGUAGUAGGGCAGUGGAUGAAUUAAAAAAAGCUAACGUGAUCGGAAUAUGAAUAUCACAGAGGCACAGCAAGAGAGUCGAUGGAGAUGAAGAAAUAGGUUGAUCGCUUAAAAAGGGCAUGUGGUGCAGGUGUCAGUGUCAACACAGAAUAGGUUUCAUUGAUUCUGCGAUAUCGCAUUCCAUUCAUUCAUUAAAAAAUACUAAUGUCUUCCUUUUUCUUUUCAUUGCAAUUAAGACCCUAGCUAGGA